UACGGUGGGUGCAAGCGUUAAUCGGAAUUACUGGGCGUAAAGCGCACGCAAGCGGCUUGUUAAGUCAGAUGUGAAAGCCCCGGGCUCAACCUGGGAAUUGCAUUCGAUACUGGCAAGCUAGAGUAUGUGAGAGGGGGGUAGAAUUCCAAGUGUAGCGGUGAAAUGCGUAGAGAUUUGGAGGAAUACCAGUGGCGAAGGCGGCCCCCUGGCACACUACUGACGCUCAGGUGCGAAAGCGUGAGGAGCAAACAGG
rnacentral:rRNA from 1 species